ACGCUAGCGAUAGGCUUAACACAUGCAAGUCGAGGGGCAGCAUGGUCUUAGCUUGCUAAGACUGAUGGCGACCGGCGCACGGGUGCGUAACGCGUAUGCAACUUGCCUCACAGAGGGGGAUAACCCGUCGAAAGACGGACUAAUACCGCGUACACUCUAUGUUGGGCAUCCAAUGUAGAGGAAAUGAACUUCGCUGUGAGAUAGGCAUGCGUCCCAUUAGCUAGUUGGUGAGGUAACGGCUCACCAAGGCGACGAUGGGUAGGGGAACUGAGAGGUUGAACCCCCACACUGGUGCUGAGACACGGACCAGACACCUACGGGAGGCAGCAGUGAGGAAUAUUGGUCAAUGGGCGAGAGCCUGAACCAGCCAAGUCGCGUGAAGGAUGACUGUCUUAUGGAUUGUAAACUUCUUUUAUACGGGAAUAACAAGAGUCACGUGUGGCUCCCUGCAUGUACCGUAUGAAUAAGCAUCGGCUAACUCCGUGCCAGCAGCCGCGGUAAUACGGAGGAUGCGAGCGUUAUCCGGAUUUAUUGGGUUUAAAGGGUGCGUAGGCGGCCUGUUAAGUCAGCGGUGAAAUCUAGGAGCUUAACUCCUAAAUUGCCAUUGAUACUGGCGGGCUUGAGUGUAGAUGAGGUAGGCGGAAUGCGUGGUGUAGCGGUGGAAUGCAUAGAUAUCACGCAGAACUCCGAUUGCGAAGGCAGCUUACUAAGGUACAACUGACGCUGAAGCACGAAAGCGUGGGUAUCAAACAGGAUUAGAUACCCUGGUAGUCCACGCAGUAAACGAUGAUAACUGGGCGUAUGCGAUAUACAGUAUGCUCCUAAGCGAGAGCGUUAAGUUAUCCACCUGGGGAGUACUCCGGCAACGGUGAAACUCAAAGGAAUUGACGGGGGCCCGCACAAGCGGAGG
rnacentral:rRNA from 1 species